GGAGGAGUGGCUGAGCUGGUUUAAGGCAUCCGACUUGAAAUCGGACGUGGGCUUGCGCUCACCGGGGGUUCGAAUCCCUCCUCCUCCGCCA
rnacentral:tRNA from 1 species